rnacentral:rRNA from 1 species
ACCCUAAAAAAAAGUUACAAAUUAAUAAAUUGAAUAACAUAUCUAACAGCACCUCGCAAACAUUUAUAAAUGUAACAAUUCAAUAAAUGGAAUAACAUAUCUAAAAAAAAAAAAAAAA